rnacentral:tRNA from 1 species
UGCCCCGUGGCUGAGUUGGUUACAGCGGUUGACUGUUAGUUAAAAAAAGUUAUUAAUAACGUAAUUACUAAUCAUCAGACGGUCGAGAGUUCGAGUCUCUCCGGGGCAG